UACUAACACGAGUCCGAUAGCAAACAAGUACCGUGAGGGAAAGUUGAAAAGUACUUUGAAGAGAGAGUAAACAGUGCGUGAAACUGCUCAAAGGUAAACGGGUGGAGUUGAACUGCAAGCUUUGGGAAUUCAGCUGAUGAGUAUGGCUAGCGUUCAGGCUUGUUGGCCGUCCCUGAAUGUCUGUCUAAUGGCAGGUGCCUUCCCUUUGGGUUGGUAUGUGUGUUGCGCUUAUCAUGUGCCACACGCAUUUGGGGUAAUGGGUCUGCUUGUCAGUGCACUUUCUCAGAGUGUUCACCACGACCGGCACUGCUGUCUGUCUGCAUUAGUCAAACUGGUCAGGUCUGGUUAUCGCUAGGCUUGGUUGGGAUGGCAGGUAGCUCGAGUGUUCCUUUAUUGGACUUUGAGUGUAAUGAGCUGACCAUUGUGGAUCUGUACGGUGUGUCGGAGAUGACGGCUUUGCAUGCGUGCUCUGUCCUUCGGGCGAGAUUGAGUCCGGUUGGCUUGUUACUGACUUCGGUUAGUCUGUCGAUGGCUUAGUCUUGUUCAGUUGGCGGUUGCGUGUGUAACUUGGUUUGGGCCAAUAGUCUGUGGUGUAGUGGUAGACGAUCCACCUGACCCGUCUUGAAACACGGACCAAGGAGUUUAACAUAUGCGCGAGUCAUUGGGCACUACGAAACCCAAAGGCGAAGUGAAGGUAAAGGUUUGGCUUGUCUGAACUGAGGUGAGAUCCUGUUGGUUUGCCUAGUAAAUAUCUGAACAGCGAACAGCGGGCGCAUCACCGGCCCGUCCCAUGGCGUAGACAUAUGACCUUGUGUUGUGUGCACCGUCGGGGCGGAGCAAGAGCGCAUACGUUGAGACCCGAAAGAUGGUGAACUAUGCUUGCUAA
rnacentral:rRNA from 1 species